rnacentral:sRNA from 1 species
UACGUAUUGCCAGAUAAGGGGAACUCGU